rnacentral:rRNA from 1 species
CAGCAGCCGCGGUAAAACGGAGGGGGCUAGCGUUGUUCGGAAUUACUGGGCGUAAAGCGCACGUAGGCGGCUUUGUAAGUUAGAGGUGAAAGCCUGAUGCUCAGCAUCAGAAUUGCCUUUAAGACUGCAUCGCUUGAACGUCGGAGAGGUGAGUGGAAUUCCGAGUGUAGAGGUGAAAUUCGUAGAUAUUCGGAAGAACACCAGUGGCGAAGGCGGCUCACUGGACGACUGUUGACGCUGAGGUGCGAAAGCGUGGGGAGCAAACAGGAUUAGAUACCCCGGUAGUCCCUGUCUCUUAUAC